rnacentral:rRNA from 1 species
AUCAAAGGUGAGCCAGUACAGGAUGGACCCGCGUCUGAUUAGCUAGUUGGUAAGGUAACGGCUUACCAAGGCGACGAUCAGUAGCCGACCUGAGAGGGUGAUCGGCCACAUUGGAACUGAGACACGGUCCAAACUCCUACGGGAGGCAGCAGUGGGGAAGAUUGCACAAUGGGCGAAAGCCUGAUGCAGCAACGCCGCGUGAGUGAUGAAGGCCUUCGGGUCGUAAAACUCUGUCCUCAAGGAAGAUAAUGACGGUACUUGAGGAGGAAGCCCCGGCUAACUACGUGCCAGCAGCCGCGGUAAUACGUAGGGGGCUAGCGUUAUCCGGAUUUACUGGGCGUAAAGGGUGCGUAGGCGGUCUUUCAAGUCAGGAGUGAAAGGCUACGGCUCAACCGUAGUAAGCUCUUGAAACUGGGAGACUUGAGUGCAG